rnacentral:rRNA from 1 species
GAUGAACGCUAGCGGCAGGCCUAAUACAUGCAAGUCGAGGGGCAGCAGGAAUAGCAAUAUUUGCUGGCGACCGGCGCACGGGUGCGUAACACGUAUAUAAUCUGCCUUCUACAGGGGGAUAGCCUUUCGAAAGAGAGAUUAAUACCCCAUAAUAAAUUGAAUAGCAUUAUUUGAUUUUGAAAGAUCCGUCGGUAGAAGAUGAGUAUGCGGGUGAUUAGCUAGUUGGUGAGGUAACGGCUCACCAAGGCAACGAUCACUAGGGGAUCUGAGAGGACUACCCCCCACACUGGUACUGAGACACGGACCAGACUCCUACGGGAGGCAGCAGUAAGGAAUAUUGGACAAUGGAGGCAACUCUGAUCCAGCCAUGCCGCGUGCAGGAUGAAUGCCCUAUGGGUAGUAAACUGCUUUUGUACGAGAGAAAACCUAUUUACGUGUAGAUAGUUGAUAGUAUCGUAAGAAUAAGGAUCGGCUAACUUCGUGCCAGCCGCCGCCGUAAGAC